AUUGAACGCUGGCGGCAGGCCUAACACAUGCAAGUCGAGCGGAUGAAGGGAGCUUGCUCCUGGAUUCAGCGGCGGACGGGUGAGUAAUGCCUAGGAAUCUGCCUGGUAGUGGGGGAUAACGUCCGGAAACGGGCGCUAAUACCGCAUACGUCCUGAGGGAGAAAGUGGGGGAUCUUCGGACCUCACGCUAUCAGAUGAGCCUAGGUCGGAUUAGCUAGUUGGUGGGGUAAAGGCCUUCCAAGGCGACGAUCCGUAACUGGUCUGAGAGGAUGAUCAGUCACACUGGAACUGAGACACGGUCCAGACUCCGACGGGAGGCAGCAGUGGGGAAUAUUGGACAAUGGGCGAAAGCCUGAUCCAGCCAUGCCGCGUGUGUGAAGAAGGUCUUCGGAUUGUAAAGCACUUUAAGUUGGGAGGAAGGGAAGUAAGUUAAUACCUUGCUGUUUUGACGUUACCAACAGAAUAAGCACCGGCUAACUUCGUG
rnacentral:rRNA from 1 species